AGCAGCCGCGGUAAUUCCAGCUCCAAUAGCGUAUAUUAAAGUUGUUGCAGUUAAAAAGCUCGUAGUUGAAUUUCGGGAUUUGUCAAUUGGUCGGGCUUCACUGUCCGUACUGAUUUGAUGGAUUCUUACCUUCUGAAUAACCAGCAUGCUAUUAAGUUAGUGCGUUGGGGAAGCAGAUCUAUUACCUUGAAAAAUUAGAGUGCUUAAAGCGGGCUAGUGCUUGAAUAGAUUAGCAUGGAAUAAUAAAAUAGGACGGCAUGGUUCUAUUUUGUUGGUUUCUAGGAUCACCGUAAUGAUUAAUAGGGAUAGUUGGGGGCAUUAGUAUUCAAUUGUCAGAGGUGAAAUUCUUGGAUUUAUUGAAGACUAACUUCUGCGAAAGCAUUUGCCAAGGAUGUUCUCAUUAAUCAAGAACGAAAGUUAGGGGAUCGAAGACGAUCAGAUACCGUCGUAGUCUUAACCAUAAACUAUAGCCG
rnacentral:rRNA from 1 species